rnacentral:rRNA from 1 species
GACGAACGCUGGCGGCGUGCCUAACACAUGCAAGUCGAACGCAGUGGGGACGGGUGAGUAACAUGUGGGUAACCUCCCAUCAGAGGGGAUAACACUUGGAAACAGGUGCUAAACCGAUACGGAUGGAGGGCCCAGCGGUGCAUUAGCUAGUUGUGGGGGGAAAGGCUCACCAGGGCAACGAGGCAUAGCCGACCUGAGAGGGUGAUCGGCCACACUGGGACUGAGACACGGCCCAGACUCCUACGGGAGGCAGCAGUAGGGAAUCUUCGGCAAUGGACGAAAGUCUGACCGAGCAACGCCGCGUGAGUGAAGAAGGUUUUCGGAUCGUAAAACUCUGUUGUUAGAGAAGCGGUAUCUAACCAGAAAGCCACGGCUAACUACGUGCCAGCAGCCGCGGUAAUAC